rnacentral:rRNA from 1 species
UACGGGGGGGGCAAGCGUUGUUCGGAAUUACUGGGCGUAAAGGGCGCGUAGGCGGCCUGCUAAGUCGGACGUGAAAUCCCUCGGCUCAACCGGGGAACUGCGUCCGAUACUGGUGGGCUCGAAUCCGGGAGAGGGAUGUGGAAUUCCAGGUGUAGCGGUGAAAUGCGUAGAUAUCACUUGGAACGCCAAUGGUGAAGACAGCUCGCUGGGGGUGUCCUGACGCUGAGGCGCGAAAGCCAGGGGAGCGAACGGG